GCGCCGUUAGCUCAGCUGGGAGAGCAACUGGUUUACACCCAGUAGGUCGGGGGUUCGAGCCCCUCAUGGCGCACAA
rnacentral:tRNA from 1 species